GGCGGGUUCCCUCCCGGCGCUGCGCCCGCCGGAGCAUCGGGAGCGUCGCGUUUUUGCCGUCUGCGCCGGGGGAUGGGAUCAGGCGAGCGCAGGGCCUCCGCGCAAGCUCCCGUUUCUGCUCUGGAAACAGUCAUGAGAGGAAGCUCAGAGCUUUAUUCUCAUGAAGAACAUUUUUCUCGUUCUCGCAGCAUUAGAGGUUAAGGCAAUGUUACUUCUGAUCUCCGCUAGAUACAGAACCAGUCAUAACCUAAAGGCAGUCUAACCUCCCUAAGAGACCGAUCCUCUGCACGCGAUGGGGAACGCCGCCGACGGCGCAUUCGUGCAGACGCCGCUUGAGUUACGGCGUCUUCCCGAACUGACCUGUGGUCUGCGGUGCUUUGCUGAAAGCUACACGUUCUCUGGGAAAACCUCUACCACAAGGCUGGAGGAGAAGGAGGAAGAGGCCCAACAGAAGUCCUGAAUGUUCAGACUGCUUUAACCUAAAAGGACCUCUUCUGAUCCUCAGUAUGGCGGGGCUGCACAGGGUUGCAAUACAGGACUCUGCAGGCUACAGCUGCUCUCCCUCCUGUAAAGUAUGCACAAUAGAUUCCAGUUUGUCUCCUGGAGAAGAUACCAGAACUAAGUGAAAGCAAGACCUCCUAUGCACCAGCAUCUUUGAUUCCAGCAAUAAUAUUGGAAAGAAAACCAAGGCAAAAAGCUUGGACUGUUUGUAAUCUGUUCUGCUGACCCAGUUCUGUCAGCAGCCAGGAUUAAACCCUGUCAGCAGAAGUCUGCUGCUGCUACCUGUGUAUCUUCAGCACUUUAAUCUGCGUGACAUGUUCCAGAGACACAAGGCUACUUAACAAAACCAAAAGUUCUCAGCACAAGAACUGAGUGCCUCUGGAGCUGGCCAUUUCAGCAGGCCAGUUCAGUUGCAG